AACGCACGAGACCUGCGGACCUGCGGAAGGAUCAUUAAUGAAAUGCUAGGACGCUCUUUUUAGAGGUCCGACCUUUCAUUUUUCUUACACUGUGAACCAAAAUUUUUACACCUUUAAACGCAUUUAGUCUUAAGAAUGUAACAGUCUCUUAAUUGAGCAUAAAACUUUAAAAACUUUUAGCAACGGAUCUCU
rnacentral:misc_RNA from 1 species